rnacentral:rRNA from 1 species
UGUUUCGGCAAGGGGGUCAUCCCGACUUACCAACCCGAUGCAAACUGCGAAUACCGGAGAAUGUUAUCACGGGAGACACACGGCGGGUGCUAACGUCCGUCGUGAAGAGGGAAACAACCCAGACCGCCAGCUAAGGUCCCAAAGUCAUGGUUAAGUGGGAAACGAUGUGGGAAGGCCCAGACAGCCAGGAUGUUGGCUUAGAAGCAGCCAUCAUUUAAAGAAAGCGUAAUAGCUCACUGGUCGAGUCGGCCUGCGCGGAAGAUGUAACGGGGCUAAACCAUGCACCGAAGCUGCGGCAGCGACGCUUAUGCGUUGUUGGGUAGGGGAGCGUUCUGUAAGCCUGUGAAGGUGUGCUGUGAGGCAUGCUGGAGGUAUCAGAAGUGCGAAUGCUGACAUAAGUAACGAUAAAGCGGGUGAAAAGCCCGCUCGCCGGAAGACCAAGGGUUCCUGUCCAACGUUAAUCGGGGCAGGGUGAGUCGACCCCUAAGGCGAGGCCGAAAGGCGUAGUCGAUGGGAAACAGGUUAAUAUUCCUGUACUUGGUGUUACUGCGAAGGGGGGACGGAGAAGGCUAUGUUGGCCGGGCGACGGUUGUCCCGGUUUAAGCGUGUAGGCUGGUUUUCCAGGCAAAUCCGGAAAAUCAAGGCUGAGGCGUGAUGACGAGGCACUACGGUGCUGAAGCAACAAAUGCCCUGCUUCCAGGAAAAGCCUCUAAGCAUCAGGUAACAUCAAAUCGUACCCCAAACCGACACAGGUGGUCAGGUAGAGAAUACCAAGGCGCUUGAGAGAACUCGGGUGAAGGAACUAGGCAAAAUGGUGCCGUAACUUCGGGAGAAGGCACGCUGAUAUGUAGGUGAAGUCCCUCGCGGAUGGAGCUGAAAUCAGUCGAAGAUACCAGCUGGCUGCAACUGUUUAUUAAAAACACAGCACUGUGCAAACACGAAAGUGGACGUAUACGGUGUGACGCCUGCCCGGUGCCGGAAGGUUAAUUGAUGGGGUCAGCGCAAGCGAAGCUCUUGAUCGAAGCCCCGGUAAACGGCGGCCGUAACUAUAACGGUCCUAAGGUAGCGAAAUUCCUUGUCGGGUAAGUUCCGACCUGCACGAAUGGCGUAAUGAUGGCCAGGCUGUCUCCACCCGAGACUCAGUGAAAUUGAACUCGCUGUGAAGAUGCAGUGUACCCGCGGCAAGACGGAAAGACCCCGUGAACCUUUACUAUAGCUUGACACUGAACAUUGAGCCUUGAUGUGUAGGAUAGGUGGGAGGCUUAGAAGUGUGGACGCCAGUCUGCAUGGAGCCGACCUUGAAAUACCACCCUUUAAUGUUUGAUGUUCUAACGUUGACCCGUAAUCCGGGUUGCGGACAGUGUCUGGUGGGUAGUUUGACUGGGGCGGUCUCCUCCUAAAGAGUAACGGAGGAGCACGAAGGUUGGCUAAUCCUGGUCGGACAUCAGGAGGUUAGUGCAAUGGCAUAAGCCAGCUUGACUGCGAGCGUGACGGCGCGAGCAGGUGCGAAAGCAGGUCAUAGUGAUCCGGUGGUUCUGAAUGGAAGGGCCAUCGCUCAACGGAUAAAAGGUACUCCGGGGAUAACAGGCUGAUACCGCCCAAGAGUUCAUAUCGACGGCGGUGUUUGGCACCUCGAUGUCGGCUCAUCACAUCCUGGGGCUGAAGUAGGUCCCAAGGGUAUGGCUGUUCGCCAUUUAAAGUGGUACGCGAGCUGGGUUUAGAACGUCGUGAGACAGUUCGGUCCCUAUCUGCCGUGGGCGCUGGAGAACUGAGGGGGGCUGCUCCUAGUACGAGAGGACCGGAGUGGACGCAUCACUGGUGUUCGGGUUGUCAUGCCAAUGGCACUGCCCGGUAGCUAAAUGCGGAAGAGAUAAGUGCUGAAAGCAUCUAAGCACGAAACUUGCCCCGAGAUGAGUUCUCCCUGACUCCUUGAGAGUCCUGAAGGAACGUUGAAGACGACGACGUUGAUAGGCCGGGUGUGUAAGCGCAGCGAUGCGUUGAGCUAACCGGUACUAAUGAACCGUGAGGCUUA